AUGAACGCUGGCGGCGUGCCUAAUACAUGCAAGUCGAGCGCACAGACGAGGAGCUUGCUCCUCUGACGUUAGCGGCGGACGGGUGAGUAACACGUGGAUAACCUACCUAUAAGACUGGGAUAACUUCGGGAAACCGGAGCUAAUACCGGAUAAUAUAUUGAACCGCAUGGUUCAAUAGUGAAAGACGGUUUUGCUGUCACUUAUAGAUGGAUCCGCGCCGCAUUAGCUAGUUGGUAAGGUAACGGCUUACCAAGGCAACGAUGCGUAGCCGACCUGAGAGGGUGAUCGGCCACACCGGAACUGAGACACGGUCCAGACUCCUACGGGAGGCAGCAGUAGGGAAUCUUCCGCAAUGGGCGAAAGCUUGACGGAGCAACGCCGCGUGAGUGAUGAAGGUCUUCGGAUCGUAAAACUCUGUUAUUAGGGAAGAACAAAUGUGUAAGUAACUAUGCACGUCUUGACGGUACCUAAUCAGAAAGCCACGGCUAACUACGUG
rnacentral:rRNA from 1 species